UGACCUCAAAUCAGGUAGGACUACCCGCUGAACUUAAGCAUAUCAAUAAGCGGAGGAAAAGAAACUAACAAGGAUUCCCCUAGUAACUGCGAGUGAAGCGGGAAAAGCUCAAAUUUAAAAUCUGUCAGUCUUCAUGAUUGUCCGAGUUGUAAUCUAGAGAAGUGUUAUCCGCGCUGGACCGUGUACAAGUCUCCUGGAAUGGAGCGUCAUAGAGGGUGAGAAUCCCGUCUUUGACACGGACUGCCAGGGCUUUGUGAUGCGCUCUCAAAGAGUCGAGUUGUUUGGGAAUGCAGCUCAAAAUGGGUGGUAAAUUCCAUCUAAAGCUAAAUAUUGGCGAGAGACCGAUAGCGAACAAGUACCGUGAGGGAAAGAUGAAAAGAACUUUGGAAAGAGAGUUAAACAGUACGUGAAAUUGCUGAAAGGGAAACGCUUGAAGUCAGUCGCGUUGUCCAGGGAUCAACCUUGCUUUUGCUUGGUGUACUUUCUGGUUGACGGGUCAGCAUCAAUUUUGACUGUUGGAAAAAGGUCAAGGGAAUGUGGCAUCUUCGGAUGUGUUAUAGCCCUUGGUUGUAUACAAUGGUUG
rnacentral:rRNA from 2 species